ensembl:lncRNA
CUGUGAACAUGUGCGGUGCAAGAGAGCAAGACAAGCAGAUGGUACUUGAGAAUAGAUAAACAGACAGAUGCAUUAAAGAGACAGCAAAAUGGUUUCAGGGAAGCCAGAUGGAUCUGUCCAUAUCUGAGCCAUACUGAUUCUUCUUUCCUUGACGGGAGAUGGAUUCCCUGCUCUCUGUAUCCUGCAGAGAAAAGAUUUUGCUGCACAAGGUCUUCCCCGAGGGAGAGGAUGAGCGCGUAAGUUAUGGGACAGAUGUUAGUCACGCAGCUCAUUAGCCAUGGGAUGGUGGUGUUCAAAUACUCAUGUGAGUGGCAAGUAGCCAAUUCUCCAGACUGGCAUAUUCUUGAUUUGAAAGGCAAAUGUCAUUUCCUGGUCUCAAAGCUACCCAUCAGCCACCUGAAUCAUUAAAAGAAAUUACAGCUGUCACAAGGGGAAGA